AUGCUAAAUGAUCUUUGUUCAUUCGUUAGUAAAGAAUUGAGAGAUUUUACAGCAUUAUUUUUUAUUUCUACAGAACCUAUGUUAUUUUCAUUUUUUAAUUCUUUAGUUUCAUCUUUUAUAACACUUUUUACUUCGUUAAAUGUUUCUAAAUUGUUUUUUUGGGGGCUUUCAAUAUAUUUUGAACUAGAUCUAUCUAAGUUCACGUUAUCUUUUAUACAUCCACUAAAUGGGUCUUCAUGUACAAAUGUGUCAUCAUGUUGUAGUUCGGCAUGGUGCUGUAGUUUGCCAUCUUGUAUUAAUUCGUCAUCCUUUACUAAUUCGUCAUCUUUUACUAAUUCGCCAUCUUUUACUAAUUCGCCAUCUUNUACUGGUGCCCUAUCAUGCAUCGUAGUAUUAUUAUAUUUAGGAAUAAGCUUAUCUGCAUCCAUAUUAAUCCCUCUUUGUUUUAUCAACUUUUUAAUUUUUCUUUCUUCUUUCAAUUUAAUUUUUUCAAAUACUUUUAGCUCUUUUAACUUCAUUUCUUUUAAUUUUUGUUUUUUUUCUUCUUCUAUUUCUUUUAUUUUAUCACUAUCAUCAAAAGCGCUUACAACACUAGCACUAUCACUUGUAAUAAUAUCGCUUUUAUUAACAUUUUUUUCUUGUUUCUUAUAAGAUUUAUUAUUAAAACUUUCAAAUAUUUCCAUGAACUCAUUGUUUUUCUCUUUAUGUUUUUUGUCAUUUUUUUUAAGUUUUUUUUUUAUUUCUUUUUCAAAAAGAAAUUCCUCACUACUUGUACCGGACAUACUACUAAAAGAAUUUGAUAGCACAGGUAUAAGAGCAGAAGUAGAAUUCAUAGAGUUAUCAUAAACAUCUCCCAUUCCAUAUAAAUAUUUUAACCAAUUUGGUAAAGAAUAAUUUUUAGUAUAUUUAACAUCAGCUUCUAGUAAUAGAUCAUUAAUUAUACUACUAAAACAGUUCAUAAAAGAAGUUUUAUCAAUUGUUAAUAAAAAACAAUUUGUGUAAGCUUUACA
rnacentral:lncRNA from 1 species